AGUUGUUCCUGAGUUGUUCCAGUUGCGGUUGCUCCUCCAAAUUUUGUUCAGCGGCCACUUGCUUUACAUGGAUUAUACUAGGUGGACGCUAAAUCGUACGUCACGGAUUAGUUUCAUAUGCUCGUGACUGAUGACUGUUCUAUACCCUCAUAUGAACAACUCGCAUUUCGCCAGCGACGAUUUUAACCACAAGAGGGCCCUGUCACCCAAUUGUCGCCGUAUCCAAUGGAAGCAACACGACAGUCGAUUACAUUGCACCGCAAAACGCCGAAAGACCCAAUCGCCAAUCGCUUGGCAAUUUUCAAUUUUGUUAAAACGAAAUUUUUCUAAAAGAACAAAGAAGGAAUGGGCGCAAAAAAAUCCAUGAUGGCCGACCAUUUGCUUACCAGUCCUCCUUUUCUUAACAAAUGUUUGUCAGUCGCCAUGGAGAUGGAGUGUGGUCGAGUUCUGCUGAUUGAAUUGUGUCGGACUUUAUGUUCCUGUCAUCUUCCAUUAUUAGAAGCCAGUUGAAGAGCAAAGCAGGGAAGAGUACAUGCUCGUACGUCUUCUCAACUGUCCAACCGUGUCAUAAAAUAUUUGCAAACUUCUCUCUGCGAUCAAUGAAACGGAAAGUUUCACCAGUUCAGUUCACCAGAUCUUGGUGACUGGGACGGAUGAAAUCCCUAACCAAUUUCCCCCCCUUCUGACAACAGAUGUCAACACGUUGGAGCACAACAGGUAGGAAAAAAGUUAAAAUAUUUCAAGUAUUGUGAUGGAAUGAGACAUGUGAUAGUUUGAAGUCGUCUGGUUACUGAGAUAGGAUUCAACUUAUUAAUGUGUAAAUAUGGGGGUUGGGUGUGUGGUCUACAGAGUGAAAUCUCAAGCCUCUUUGAUUAUUAUAUAAAGUUAGAUUUCUGAUCACUAUUCAAUGUCCAGGUUUAAAAAAUACUCUGUUUUAAUCUUGUAUUUUGAUACCUGCCUGUUUGAAUCUUCGGCGAUAGUUGGGAGUCGAAUGGCAGGCGUAUUGACUAUUUUUGUGGCGAUCUAUCCCCUUCGUUUUUUUGUGGGAACGAUUCCGUGUAGAACGAGGAAAUCCUUCGAGCAAUACUUGGCCGAGAAACGAUCACUUCGUCAGCACACGAUUUAAAUUUGCAAGCAUAGUAUACUUUCAUGUAUUAGGCUAAUAUUUUAUUCCAAUUUUUCGACAGUUUUUGUGAUUAAAAUGAAGCAUAAGCGAUAAGGGAAAUUCGGAGGGUGUGGGAGGGUGGAUUUCAAAGGUUUACUUGGAUUUAACUUUAGUAACGAGUCAAAAGUAUAAGGAAGAACCGAAUAUUCCAAAUAUUUCAAUCUCGUUGCUGUAAAUAGAUUUGCCACUACUUUGUUCGUCGUUCAAUAACG